ensembl:lncRNA
GUGCAAAUAUGCAAAUACUGUGUUCUUUUAUAAUCUUAUCUUGUGCAUAGCACAAAACUGUUUACAGCUAUAAAUUAACAGCUAAUUAGCUAGCUUUGUCACUAGCACACUAGUUUCAUAGAAAACAUAGAUAACUGUUCUGUGAUUUCAUACUUCCAAUUAAAAAAAAUCCUGGACUCACAUUCUAUACUCUUCUAAUAAAAAAAUGUAUAUACUCUGUUUAUAUACUAUGUAGUACAACAGUAUGUGGUGUGUCUCCUCUAAAAGUAUACAGUGAAAACAUUUUGGUUUGGGAUUGAAACAUAUAUUAGAAUAUUAGACGAUAGAUCAAAUUUCCACCUUUCAUUUGUUGAUAUUUAUAUCUAGAUGUGUCAAACAUGACACCUUUUUUUAAAACCACCCAGUUUUCCAAGUUAUUAAAAAUAUUGGAACACAUGACUGACAGAUGUUUCUUGUUGUCCAGGUGUGCCCUGUUAGACUGUUUGUUUAAACAAUUAGUAGCUCUGUCAAUCUACUCUUGGUUGGAGCCCUUGAUUUUUACUGUGAAGACUGCUUUGUUGCUAAAAAGGAUAAACCAACUUGAAGACCAGAGAGAGAAAAUAAAUCAAACAAGUUAGCCAAGGAAAACAACAACAGUUGAUGACAAAGACACUGUGAGAGCUGUGAAGAAAAAAAAACCCCAAAUCAACAGUCAGUGACAUCACCAACAACCUCCACAAGACAGAGGUGAGGGUAUCACAAUCCACUAUUCAAAGAAUACUUUGAGAGCAGAAAUACAUAGAGGCCAUACCCCAAGAUGCAAAUCACUCACCAACAGUAAGAAUCGGAAAGCCAAAUUGGAAUUCGAAAAGAAACUCAGAGAUGAGCCACAAAAGUUCUGGAACCAAGAUUAACCUCUACCAAAGUGAUGGAAAGGCCAAAGUGUGGAGAAAUAAAGCAUCGGCAUCACCAUGAUCCAAAACAUGCAAGCUCAUCCGUGAAACAUGGUGGAGAUAGUGUCAUGCCUUGGGCUCAGGUUCACUAAUCUUUACUGAUGUAACUCAUGAUGGUAGCAGCAGAAUGAAUUCAGAAGUAUACAGAAACAAUAUGUAUUCCAGUUUACAGAGAAAUACG